rnacentral:lncRNA from 1 species
AAGAUUUUUGCAAUUCUAUUGUCUGAGCAAAUGUCACGGACUGAGCCAAGAAGUGCUGACAGACACGCAGCUCUAUCUACCCAUCCGUACUGAGACACAGGACUCGGCCGUAGGUGGGCAGACAGAUGCACCUCCACGUGGCACGGAAACCACAGCUUUCCUCAGAGCUUCUAAGAAGCUCCGUGAGUGGGGCCGCAGUGCUCAGCAUCGGAAGGAAAAGCUGGACUUUUUCUCUUUUAACUGACUAUGGUAUUGUUGAGAGACUAUCCCGGAGAACGCCAUAUAUCUGGAAAGGAACAGCAUGGAAAAGACCAGGGAAGAGAUUUCAGGACACUGUCUCCAUAGCAAAAAGUCUUUUCCUCCCCUGGCUCUUUUGUGAGGAAGCUGAAAACCUUUCAUUGAGUUGUCACCCGUGAGCAGCCAGAAGGACGGCUGCUUGGGGGAGGGGGGCGCUCCGUGGCUUCUGCUUCUCUCUGACAGCCCUGAAUGGAGCUCGAGGUGUAUACAAAUGUUGUACAGGUAGUAUAGUAUCAAUCUGGUUCAGGAAAAAAAAAA